UCCGUAGGAGGUUUUGCAAGUUUGACGUGAAAUCCCGGAGCUCAACUCCGGAACUGCGUUGAAAACUGCAGAACUCGAGUACUGGAGAGGUAAGCGGAAUACCAGGUGUAGCGGUGGAAUGCGUAGAUAUCUGGUAGAACACCAAAAGCGAAGGCAGCUUACUGGACUGAGACUGACUCUCAAGGACGAAAGCGUGGGGAGCAAACAGGAUUAGAUACCCUUGUA
rnacentral:rRNA from 1 species